rnacentral:rRNA from 1 species
UACGGAAGGCAGCAGUGGGGAAUAUUGCACAAUGGGCGCAAGCCUGAUGCAGCCAUGCCGCGUGUACGAAGAAGGCCUUCGGGUUGUAAAGUACUUUCAGUCGUGAGGAAGGUGUUAAGGUUAAUAACCUUAGCAAUUGACGUUAGCGACAGAAGAAGCACCGGCUAACUCCGUGCCAGCAGCCGCGGUAAUACGGAGGGUGCGAGCGUUAAUCGGAAUUACUGGGCGUAAAGGGCACGCAGGCGGUUAAUUAAGUUGGAUGUGAAAUCCCCGGGCUUAACCUGGGAAUGGCAUUCAAGACUGGUUAGCUAGAGUCUUGUAGAGGGGGUAGAAUUCCAUGUGUAGCGGUGAAAUGCGUAGAGAUGUGGAGGAAUACCGGUGGCGAAGGCGGCCCCUGGACAAAGACUGACGCUCAUGUGCGAAAGCGUGGGGAGCAAACAGGGAUUAGAUACC